ACUUCAUUAUGUUUUUUAUAAAAUAUUGAUGUAUUCAAUUAAAAUUUAUAUCUAUUAACCUAUAUAUAUUGAUAAAUAUUAUUUCAUUUUUAAGAGUAUUUAAAAAAAACUGUAAUGUAUGUCAAUUAGUAAUUGAAUCUUCUAUGGGUGAGGACAGAACUCGUCCACUGUCUCAACUAUGUAUCAUAAGAAGCAACUAAAGGUAUCCAAUCCUACUGUGGAAGCAGCCAUUCAAAAAGGAUUGUAUGAUGAAAGAUAGAAUUAAUAAACAAUGCCCAUCACUGAUUUGAUCAGCUGGUGACAGAUAGGCAAGGCAGGUCUGAUAUAUCAACACUAUAUUUCUAACUUCUGUUCUGCAUGGAUCAAUCUCAUAAUAAAUCAUCAAUUUCAAAAACUGCAUUGAAUUCUCUCUGUAAGAAAGUCUGCACCAGUGAUAUUUUCACAAAUCCUUUCCUAGAAAAAGAAGCAGCCAAAAUUGCAACAAUCUGUCUUAUCAUUCAUUCUAAUUUGGAAACACCAGUUGAGAAGUUAUUCCUGUUUCUCAUCAGGAAAGUGAGAGAUUCCUCCUCUUUUCAAUGGGUUGAGAAAAUUCUCCAAUUCUCAAGCUCUUAAUCAACCAGACAUCCCCUAUCUUCAACAGCUAAAGAGCUUGGAUAUAUUCAAACCGAAUACAAACAAUAAGCACCUUCAAUGAAAACUAAACUGAGGAACGAAAAAUUGACAGCAUCUAAUGUUUAUUUAGAUACAGAUAAUUCAGACCACACUUAAAAUCUCAAUAUUAAAAUCAUUGAUUCAGCAGAUAUUAUGUAUCACUUCUUACCAUCGUUAGUGCUAAGAAACAGCCAUCAAAGCCUAAAUCUAAAAAUACAGAUUCUACGUCUAUGUCUACUGACACUGAUCACAUAUAAAAUCAAGAUAAUAACAGUUCAAAUUUGGAGGAGGUAUAGAAGUGCCUCAGAGCAGUUUUCUCAGUAUUACUCUUUCCUCUUAAAAAUUAAUUUACUGUCUCCUGUAUCUCAAAAACUGUCAUUUGCUAUAUAUAGAUGACCUAAACAUAUAUCUGUUAAGCCUCCCCUUGUAAUCCAUUGUCUGCCAACUCCAGAUAUCUUUACAUUAUCUAGAAAAAUGGACAACUAAAAUGGCUUUCAUUUCUCACAGGACAAAACUGUUUGUAUUCAUGUAUCACUGUUUGUAUCACUAUAGUAUUUUUCAAACUUGAGAUCUAACUCUGUAUAGAACAUCUUUAUUCUGAAGAACUGGAGCAUGACAACAACUGGAUAGUGAAAUUUGAAAGACCUAUUAAAAAACAAAAAAGAUGAUAUCAGAGUAAGGAUGUGUACUAUACAAAAAACUUAAAUUUACUAAACCUAGUUUUUUGGAUUUGCUUUUGAUGAUAAGUUUAUUUUUGAUCCUCAUCUUUGAAAAUUGUGUACCACUUGUACUAAAAGACUAUAAUUUCAGCAUAUGAUAUCUAGUGCAUUUCGAGGAAAUGACUGCAUCAUUCUCCUUCAGAUAUACUGAACACUGAUGUAAUCUAAAACAGAUUAUGGUUCACUCAUGUAUAGAUAGGUUAUAAGACCACCACCCAGUUGAUGGAUCCAAUCCAUCUCAAGCUUUAAGACUCUGUCUAGGAGCAUUCAGAACAUUCAUGAAUAAAUAUGCAUAAUAAUAGGUUCAUGACAGUAUUCAUAUAUUAUCAUGUGUGAACAUUUUCUGUUUGUAUUUAUUUAAUAAAUUUUAUGAUAAACUUGAUUUUUUGAUAUUCAUUUUAUAUAUAUUUUUCAUAGGCAAGAAAUGCUGUUUCUAAAGAAGUUGUUGCAAUUAAGAAAAUGUCAUUUACUGG
rnacentral:lncRNA from 1 species